rnacentral:lncRNA from 1 species
GAAAGAGGAAGGGCUUUCACCAGGAGACAUAAGAGGAGACAAAUGUGACUCUGGGUCUGAAGCAGGUCAAAGCUCCACUUGUAAGAAUUGUAAAACAACAACUUGCAGAAGAAAAGAAGACAUCUUCUAAACCUUGACUUGAAGUUGAUUUCUUAGAUCCCCUGUUUGAGGGACCAAAGGAAGCAGUGUCCGACCCACAUCUCUUCUGGACACACUUGGGGAAUAUGCCUCCCCUCUCCAGCCCACCUCAAAGCAAGCUAAUAUCAGAUCAAUCCUGAAGGGUUUGGCAACAACAAAAGCUGUCCAGAAGGAAGGCUUGCCAGACUUCAAAAGACAAUCAACGAGUGAAUGAGAAACAAAAUGACCUGGUCAUGCUGAAAUAAGGACACCGGGGCCUCUUUGGACAAAUUUCGUGUGGAGGCUGGACACGUGGGGGCCACACCCACAUGCCGCCUUUUACCCAGGCGAGUCUCAAAGCACUUGUCCAGCCAGGCUGAUUGAUAGCUCUGCAGUGGCCCUGUUUACCACCAGAGUGAGGCACAGCAGCUGGCUGACAACCCUUCGAUUGACCCUGGUCAGCACUUUCAAGGUAGGAAGCUCAGAAGAACAGUGUCCACUUAAAGCCACAACAAAGGCAGUGAGGGGAUGCCCUUUCUUUGUGAAUGGGCCGGCAGGCUGGCUUCUCUAAACACACAUACACCAGUGAGGGAAGUGGGUGUGAAUGGAGGCGAAAUUGCUCUGGGGCAAUUCUAGCUUGGCCCUUUGUCACCCUGGGAAGACAGUUGGAUACUCAGGCCCAGUGUGACUUGGACACGGACCUAAUGUUAGAUGUUACAUAAAGUCCCUGCAACCUGCUCGUCUGGUUCAGCAACAGCUUCAGUAGUCUUGAAGAUGUCCCUUGGUUGUCCUCUUCCAGGAGAAAAUCUGUGUGUUUAUUUCUCUAACCUUCCCAUUCUGUAUAGUUAAUAUAAUUCAUAUGUCCUAAAUUCCCCACGUCUCAGCAUACCCAGAGCUCGAUCCCAAGCCCCAUGCUCAAAUGCCCACUCACUAGAGUCCUGCUUCUCAGCUGCCUCGAGGCAAAUAGCUUCCUCCAACGUGCUCCCUGCUCCCGUGCUUCCGUCAGGGUGUACUUCCUUAACACACAGUGGGACGAACUGGCAAGCUGGCCGUGGACUGUGAGUCAAAAGAAACCUUCCCUCCUUUUAAGUGGGAUCAGCUCCUGGUGCCCUCCUCCACGUCACUCCUGAAAGGAAGAAAACAGAGCUGAAGUGGACUUCACAAUGGAGCUGACACACAUUCGGCCAAGCAAAGUUGGGAGUAGCAGAAUCCCAUGUUGACUUGAUUGUUUUCGUCUUCUUUUUUUUAAAGUGUGGUGUGUGUGUGUGUGUGUGUGUGUGUGUGUGUGUGUGUGUGUGAUAUGAACAUGUGUGUUGUGGUGGUUUAAAUAUGCUUGGCCCAUAGGGAGUGGCACUAUUAGGAGGCAUGGCCUUGUUGGAGGAAGUGUGUCACUGUGGGGGUGGGAUUUGGAGGUCUCCUCCUAGGCUCAGGCUCCACCCAUUGCAGAAGGGAGCUUCCUCCUAGUUGCCUGAGGAUGCCAGUAUCUCCUGGUUGCCUUCAAAUCAAAAUGCAGAACUCUGCUCCCUCUCCAGCACCAUGUCUGCCUGCAUGCUGCCAGUGCUUUCUGCUGUGAUGAUAACGGACUAAACCUUUUCAACCAUAAGCCACCUCCAAUUAAAUAUUUGCCUUUAGAAGAGUUGCUGUGGUCAUGGUGUCUUAAUGGAAAGACAUGUGCAAACAGUUCAGGGGAAGUUAUCUUGUCUGUUGAGAGUUAUCUCUUACUUUCCCUCCCUUUCUUCCCUUCUUUCUCCCUUUUCCUCCCUCCCUUUCUCUGUAUCUCUAUCUCCUUUAUUCUCCUGAGACAGAGUCUUUAACUGAACUCAAAGCUAGGCUGACA